rnacentral:lncRNA from 1 species
UCACUUUCUUUUGCUUUCCUUCACCCACAAUUAGAAGGUUGCUUUUUAUUCUUUUUUCUUUUCUUUCGUUUCAUCUCCUUCCUCCUCCCGCAAUCAAAAUAGAGACAGCAGAUGCACCAAAACACCAACUCCCCUCACAACCACGAUCACUACGACCACUCUUUCUCCUUCUUAUAUUUAUCUUCUGUUGCAGCACCAGGGGAUUCUUAAGAAAGUUCAUGUCAAACUUUGGCUUCUUCUCCAAUAUAACUCUCCUUACAUCAACACCUUUGAUCUCUUAAGUAAUUGCCUUUAACCCAUUCUUUGGUAACCAGAUUUGAUGCCAUCACCAUUGCCAUCGUGGUCACCAACUGAUACGUAAGGCGGGCAGAAAUCCAGAUGGAUUUGAGAUAUGAAUCAAGGUAGCCUCACAAUUUUUCUUUUAAUCCAUGCAAAUAUCUGACUUUUUGUGUGUAAUUGGUGUCAUAUAACCAUUUUACUGGUCCAAAGGGUUGUUUUUUUAUAGUAAUUUGUUGGUUUUGCUUUAUUUUAGGACUGAAAUUUAUAGUUUUGCCUAUCACUGUUCAUGCCUAUGUUUGUUACUCUUUGCUUGUUUUUGGUCAAAUCUGAUAUCAUAAUCAUGAUAUACGCUGAAAUUGGAUUUGAGGGUGUAAUUUUUGUUAAAUUCCACACUGGUGAUAGCUACUGGCAGCUCUGCUCCUACUGUCGCUGCCACAAGAUCUGUAAAUGAUAAUAAGCGGUAGGGAAGAAGAGAAACUUUGAAAAUUUUCACCUUGACUCAUAAAGUCUAUUUGUAAACCCACAAAGACGAUGAUGGAAGUGGCAGCAGCUGUAGAAAAAUAAUGAAAGCUACUUUAUCACAGGAGAAGAUGAAGAAUGUUUUGAAAUUUUAGUUUGGCCCCUUAAAUUUUUCCUUAGACAAUUCAAGAUUCAUGAAUUUAGAUGAAAUCUGAGACCUAUGCUGAAGAUGAUGAUGAAGGUAAUGACCACGACAAUCAUAGUGACGGCGAUGAUGGCGAUGAUGGCAAGGUGACAAUUGCUGGACUGAAGAAAGGAAGAAAAUGGAAGGGAAAGGAAAACAGAAAAAGGAAAAAAAAAAAGAACAAAAAGAAAGGAGAUAGGUUCUGAAAUCUAAACAUCGUCCGGUUGGAGAAGACAACAAAUUUUUAGAAUUUGUUGAAUUAACCCCUGAAUUUUACUUUUUUUCUUAAAUGAAGCAAGAAAGUUUUUAAAAUCUUAAGUAAAACCUGAACUAAGUUUUGGUAUAGUUUGAAAACAAGGUUAAUAUAGGAAUUUUAUAUUAUUUCAUCAAAUUGGAUGAUUUCCGUUUGUUGGCCAAAUUAGUUCAAACCAUGAGGGGGUUC